rnacentral:tRNA from 3 species
GGGCGGUUAGCUCAGAUGGUUAGAGCGUCUGCUUUACACGCAGAAGGCCGGGGGUUCGAGUCCCUCACCGCCCACCA